rnacentral:rRNA from 1 species
UACAGAGGGGGCAAGCGUUGUUCGGAAUUACUGGGCGUAAAGGGCGCGUAGGCGGCCUUCUAAGUCGAACGUGAAAUCCCCGGGCUCAACCCGGGAACUGCGUCCGAGACUGGAAGGCUUGAAUCCGGGAGAGGGAUGUGGAAUUCCAGGUGUAGCGGUGAAAUGCGUAGAUAUCUGGAGGAACAUCGGUGGCGAAGGCGGCAUCCUGGACCGGUAUCG